UUGUGACCUCUCUGCUCUGGCUCUAUAGUGUCCUCAUUGUACAUGCUGUGUGUAUUUGUCACGUACACAGCGCAUGCAAUGUGGACAUAAUGGAGCUCAAUUUACACCUGAUAAGGA
rnacentral:precursor_RNA from 10 species